rnacentral:lncRNA from 1 species
CAAACAUUUAUAAUGCACUUUAUUAUUUUCAAAGCACUUUACAUAAACUAGCAGAAGUUCAUUUAGUCGUUUAAAACACUACAAUGGCGUCAUUGGUUAUUUCUUGCUGGUUGUAGUUUUCACUUAAUGUGGCCUUGUCUUUCCCAAGAGAGUAUAAGUUCCUUGAGGGGAAAUAUUCUAUUUCCUGAUUCUUUUAAAGACUCCUCAGGGCCAUACCUACUUUUUAAAACUAAUAUGUAAUUUCACCAGUGUUGGGAGUUCCCGGUCAGGGAUUUCCUUUCUCAGUUCCAAUUAGUAACUUUUCUACAAUUUUUACUCCUGGAGGGUUGCCCAAAUCAUUGAGAGGGUAAGUGAUUUGACCAAGGACACAUAGCCAGAACCCAGAUCUACCUAUGCCAACUGCUUUUGGCCAUAUCCAUGGUUCACAUUUUAAAAAUGUUUAUUGAUUAAGCACUGAGUGUGGAGUUAGAGGACUCCCAAAGCUCCCACUUUCUAUCUGGGUCAUCUUAGACAAUACACUUGGGCGUCUCUCUGCACCUCCGUUUGUUUCAUCUGUACAACAAACUGGUCAGAUUAGAUUGUUCCUGAGGUCCCUUCCAGCCUUAUAUGUUUUCUGGAAGAAGAUUUUCCAGAGAAUCAUUCGAAUAUUGGCAUUUUUGCUUUAUAAGAUCACAUAUUCAAAGGCAAAAAGGGCUUGAGACGUGUUCUUUUCCAACACUUCCAUUUUAGGGAUCAGGAAGUUGAGCCCCAAAGAAAGGUGAAGAUCUCUUCAUCCCUAGAUCUGGACUCCAAAUUCCACGUUCUUCCUUUUCUGUUUCUUCUUGUCAUUAUGCUCUCCAUUCAUUUGCUCUGGGUGCCCUGUGGGCAGGGUGGCUGCUGCCUAACAUGCCUGGGAAACAACUAUAGCAACAAGGGGUGAGCAAACAAACAAGGUUCUAGGGAUGGUUGCUGAAGGCCAUGCCACUCGGUGUGGAACCUUGGAAGGAAUACAUUUUGUUUGGAGAUGAAACAUCACUUUCUUUCCAACCAGACAUUCCCACAACCAAUACAUCCUGCUAUUAAUGAACAAUUACAAUUGGGAGGACCUGGGAGCACUUCCUAGCGGUGAGACCCUGGGUAAGUCACUUAACCCUACUUGCCUAGCCAUUCUGUCCUGGAACCAGUACACAGUCUUGAUUCUUAGAUGAGUGGUAAGGGUUUUUUUUUUUUUUUAAUGAUGUUCAAAGUAGAAAAUACUCUACAAUACCUACUAUCAAUUCUAAGACACAAGAUCAGGAUUUUUUUUUGUCAAUCACCCUAGCUUACAUUUAUACAUAAGCUGGAACCUGUCUGGGUCUGCUCUGCUCUCUACUUACAAAAUCCUGCUCAUGAAGCCCCUGAUCUCAACUAAAUGUGUCACAUCAGAGUGAAGCAAAGAGGCAUGAACUUAAAAUAGAAUGAAGUAAAUAAGAAAAAAAACCAGCCAGCCCUCACUCCAUCUUCUCUUCCCCAGAACUCCCUCCCCCAAGCCUUUAAAGAGACCUGGGAUGCUCUGAGUCCCUUCUCUGGGUUCCCCAGCUGCCUUACUAGCAAAAUACAGCAGGCCAGGGAAGCCAAUGAGGAAGGUGGCUUGCCCUUUGGACAAGCCCAGGACCUUC